UUGUAGCAUUCUGUUUCCGGUCUCCUGAGAGUGAAAAGGGAAUCCAGUGCAAAUCUGGAGCUGACGCGCAGCGGUAAAGACUGGCGGGAUGAGAGCAACAGACACUGUGAAAACGGGAAGUCUUCAUCCAUAAAACGCCACCCAGCCCGAAGACCUGCCGGGAUCACGUCGCAUUUG
rnacentral:ncRNA from 18 species